rnacentral:rRNA from 1 species
GCGCGAAACCUGUGCAAUGCGCGCAAGCGCGACACGGGGAGCCUGAGUGCCUUGACUAAGUCAAGGCUUUUCUUAAGCCUAAAAAGCUUGAGGAAUAAGAGCUGGGCAAGACGGGUGCCAGCCGCCGCGGUAACACCCGCAGCUCGAGUGGUAGUCACUUUUAUUGAGCCUAAAGCGUUCGUAGCCGGUUUUGUAAAUCCUCAGACAAAUUCUCCUGCUUAACGGGAGAUACUCUGGAGAGACUGCGAAACUAGGGACCGGGUGAGGUUGAAGGUACUUCUGGGGUAGGGGUAAAAUCCUGUAAUCCUGGAAGGACGACCAGUGGCGAAGGCGUUCAACUAGAACGGAUCCGACGGUGAGGAACGAGGGCUAGGGGAGCAAACCGG